AAUGAAUUUUUUAAAGGAAAGUGGCGGACGGGCGAGUAGCGCGUGAAUAACCUGCCCAUAAGAGGGGGAUAAUCCAUGGAAACGUGGACUAAUACCGCAUAUUGAAUAUUAAUUGCAUGAUUGAUAUUUGAAAGAUUUAUCGCUUAUGGAUGGAUUCGCGUCUGAUUAGAUAGUUGGUGAGGUAACGGCUCACCAAGUCGACGAUCAGUAGCCGAACUGAGAGGUUGAUCGGCCGCAUUGGGACUGAGACACGGCCCAGACUCC
rnacentral:rRNA from 1 species